rnacentral:rRNA from 1 species
GACGAACGCUGGCGGCGUGCUUAACGCAUGCAAGUCGAACGGAAAGGCCCUGCUUUUGUGGGGUGCUCGAGUGGCGAACGGGUGAGUAACACGUGAGUAACCUGCCCUUGACUUUGGGGUAACUUAAGGAAACUGGGGCUAAUACCGGAUAGGAGCUCCUGCUGCAUGGUGGGGGUUGGAAAGUUUCGGCGGUUGGGGAUGGACUAGCGGCUUAUCAGCUUGUUGGUGGGGUAGUGGAUUACCAAGGCUGUGACGGGUAGCCGGCCUGAGAGGGUGACCGGCGUCAAGACGCCUGAGGUAGGCCGCAGACGGGAAUGGGAGGCAAUGGGGGGGAGUCUUAUACAGCGGUAGGACGUCUGUUGCGAAGACGCCCCGUGCGGGAAGACGUUUUGUGGGUAGAGAACCGCAGCCGCUUGAGACGAAGCGUUAGUGACGGUACCGGGAAAAGAAGCACCGGCUAACUACGUG